rnacentral:rRNA from 1 species
CCUACGGGGGGCAGCAGUGAGGAAUAUUGGUCAAUGGACGAGAGUCUGAACCAGCCAAGUAGCGUGAAGGAUGACUGCCCUAUGGGUUGUAAACUUCUUUUAUAAAGGAAUAAAACGAGGCACGUGUGCCUCUUUGCAUGUACUUUAUGAAUAAGGAUCGGCUAACUCCGUGCCAGCAGCCGCGGUAAUACGGAGGAUCCGAGCGUUAUCCGGAUUUAUUGGGUUUAAAGGGAGCGUAGAUGGGUUGUUAAGUCAGUUGUGAAAGUUUGCGGCUCAACCGUAAAAUUGCAAUUGAUACUGGCAGUCUUGAGUACAGUUGAGGUAAGCGGAAUUCGUGGUGUAGCGGUGAAAUGCUUAGAUAUCACGAAGAACCCCGAUUGCGAAGGCAGCUUACUAAACUGUGACUGACAUUGAUGCUCGAAAGUGUGGGUAUCAAACAGGAUUAGAUACCCUUGUAGUC